rnacentral:rRNA from 1 species
ACGGGAGGCAGCAGUCGGGAAUUUUGCGCAAUGGAGGAAACUCUGACGCAGUGACGCCGCGUGCAGGAAGAAGGUUUUCGGAUUGUAAACUGCUUUAGACAGGGAAGAAACAAGACAGUACCUGUAGAAUAAGCUCCGGCUAACUACGUGCCAGCAGCCGCGGUAAUACGUAGGGAGCAAGCGUUAUCCGGAUUUAUUGGGUGUAAAGGGUGCGUAGACGGGAAAUUAAGUUAGUUGUGAAAUCCCUCGGCUUAACUGAGGAACUGCAACUAAAACUGGUUUUCUUGAGUACUGGAGAGGAAAGUGGAAUUCCUAGUGUAGCGGUGAAAUGCGUAGAUAUUAGGAGGAACACCAGUGGCGAAGGCGACUUACUGGACUGUAACUGACGCUGAGGCGCGAAAGUGUGGGGAGCAAACAGGAUUAGAUACCCUGGUA